GAUGAACGCUGGCGGUAUGCUUAACACAUGCAAGUCGAACGGACUCUUCGGAGUUAGUGGCGGACGGGUGAGUAACGCGUGAGAAUCUGGCUUUGGGUUCGGGACAACCACUGGAAACGGUGGCUAAUACCGGAUGUGCCGAGAGGUAAAAGAGAAAUCGCCUGAAGAUGAGCUCGCGUCUGAUUAGCUAGUUGGUGAGGUAAAGGCUCACCAAGGCAGCGAUCAGUAGCUGGUCUGAGAGGAUGACCAGCCACACUGGGACUGAGACACGGCCCAGACUCCUACGGGAGGCAGCAGUGGGGAAUUUUCCGCAAUGGGCGAAAGCCUGACGGAGCAAUACCGCGUGAGGGAAGAAGGCUCUUGGGUUGUAAACCUCUUUUCUUAGGGAAGAACAAAAUGACGGUACCUAAGGAAUCAGCAUCGGCUAACUCCGUG
rnacentral:rRNA from 1 species